UACAGAGGGUGCGAGCGUUGUUCGGAAUUACUGGGCGUAAAGCGUGCGCAGGCGGUGAUGUAAGACAGAUGUGAAAUCCCCGGGCUCAACCUGGGAACUGCAUUUGUGACUGCAUCGCUGGAGUGCGGCAGAGGGGGGAUGGAAUUCCGCGUGUAGCAGUGAAAUGCGUAGAUAUGCGGAGGAACACCGAUGGCGAAGGCAAUCCCCUGGGCCUGCACUGACGCUCAUGCACGAAAGCGUGGGGAGCAAACAGG
rnacentral:rRNA from 1 species